GGAAAGAGAACAUAUUAAUUUUCCCAUUUGAAGAAAUGGAAUCAAGAGAUCUUAUGAGACCUCCCUGAAAUCACAAAGAUGGUGGGCAGAAGAGCAAACACUGAUCUCAUCAUCUGAUUAACACUCAGAUGCUUUCUGGCCUAAGGGACCAUCCCAUGGGUCUCCCCUGGCCUCACUCCUGUUUCUUUGUGGUUGUUGCUCUGUCUCAGCAAGACAGGGACCAAAUUCCUCUGCCCAAGCUUCUCGCGCUUGUCCGCUUGAGAAUUUGCGGAGGCCAGUCCGAGCGAGCGGGCAGGAGGGCAGACACCAAAUGGUUUCAAGGGUCCCUCCCCCAGCUCCUCCCUUGCCUCAAGCUCUUUGUCAUCCUUUUAGCAUUUCCAAUCUUGUUUCCCCUUUCUGAGGACGAAAGCAACCUUUGCUCUGGGUGACAGGCUGUGUAAGUCACAGGGCAUAUAAGUUACAAAGAGAUGCUCUUAUCCUGCCCUCUGACUUCACAGAUAUGGCUGCUGGGGCCCAGAGAGCAAAGUGGACUUAUCCAAGGUCACACACCGGAUUCCUGACAGAGCAGGAUUAAACUCAGGCACAUGUUGGGAUGCACUUCCAGCCCCUUUGAAGUUAGGCACGAUCAUGUGGCUAGUGCUGGCCAAUCAGAUGAGAACAGGAGUGCUGCUUGUGUCCUUGCCUGUGGGCAGAUAUCAAAUGCAGAAAGACCUGCCAGGAGACAGUUGCAACUGGCUGAAAAACGUUAACUUUGAAGGAGACCAAUGAGGGGCAGAUUUCCAGUCUCUCCAGCAGAUAGAGUCCACCAGACCUGCUGAUGUAGGGGAGGGGAGCGUGAGCGAAAGGGAUCGAGAGGUGAUGAGGAAGCUCUUCCAGGCUUGAGCAAUUGGGUGGGUGUGUUGGAACUGGGGUGUGCAGUGGGGAGGGCUGGAAGGGGGCUUGUCACACCUCCCUCUGUCUCCUGGUGGGAGCAAUGGGCUGUUCCAGGGAUGGGUUUGGUUAGUGCUGAUGUACCUUUGGCUCAAUUGUAAGUCAAUAACCUGAUGAUCAGUGCUGGAAAAAGAGCUGGUUACCACCCUUGCUUUCUACACAUCUCACCUUCUUAGAAUAGUUCAGACUUAUUCUCCAAACUCAACAGCUUUUUGUGGCAGGGUUCCUGGACGCUUGUCAAAGGGACAGAACGUAUUUGGUCUCUUGUAGGUACUAUGCCAGGUACUUGGGCACAUGGGGGUAAUAGCUUCAGAUGUUUCUCCUGAUUCUAGAUGUUAGGAGGAGAGGAAGGGACAUUUAAAGAGAGCCUCUCAGUGCAAGUUGCUGUGUCCGGUGGAUUUCAUACCCUGCAUUAUAUACUCCUUAAAUAACCUCACCAGGAUUACUCGAUAAAUACCCAUCAUUACGGCUUGGUUAUUAGUCAUCAAGUAACAAAGCUGGAAUUUGAACUAUGUCUGUUUUUUAUUUUGCCGUGCUGAUUCUGUCUGAUCAAAGAUGAAGGUCAGGGGAUCAAUGGUGUCUCACAGGGUAAGGGAGGCCACCCUCAUGUCUCAGUCUCCAUGAUGUCAGCAGGGAACCCCAACGCUUAGGAAGUGCUUGGAGAUCUCCAAAAGAGGGCAGCUCUGAGAUUGUGUUUUGCCAUUUUUAAAAAACAUUUACCCAUAAUGUCUCUUUAUAGGAUAAUAAAAAUGAACCAUCUGUGGUUCAUUGGGAAACAUGUCUCAGGCUUAUUAAAAAUAUAUGAAUUUUUAUUUUAAGAUGGGAUGGCCAUAUUAUUCAAAAUUGUAAGCCAAAAUGUAUUAUCUAUUAUUAAUUUAUUUUUAAUAGACAUCUUUCUUAUAGAUUAGCAUUCUAAUUACUUCUGAAAAAGUGGGCAGCAGCGAGGCGAGGUUUCCAAUUAAAAUUGUCCUGAAGAUAAAUGGAGGGCUUGGGCUGAGAGACGUCACCCUUUCCCCGUCUGGGAGCAAUCACAUCUGUCACCCACAGAGGGGCCAGGCCAGGCUGUCCGUUUGUGCUAGAUCGGCCCCAAGAGUUUGAGGUUCUCCUCAGGAGUGAAUGGGGGUGCUUCCAAUGGUGCUUUCUGGAAAGGGCUGCACAGGUGAAGGUGAAGGCCAGGGGGAGAGCCGCCUCCAGUUCUGUUGCUUUCCCUCCUUUCAGCUGCUUGCCCUUCCUAAGGCCCCUACACUGCCUGCCUGCUCGUCCCUCUCCAGGCAA